rnacentral:rRNA from 1 species
UACGGGGGGGGCAAGCGUUGUUCGGAAUUACUGGGCGUAAAGGGCUCGUAGGCGGCCAACUAAGUCGGAUGUGAAAUCCCCAGGCUUAACCUGGGAACUGCAUCCGAUACUGGAUGGCUUGAAUCCGGGAGAGGGAUGCAGAAUUCCAGGUGUAGCGGUGAAAUGCGUAGAUAUCUGGAGGAAUACCGGUGGCGAAGGCGGCAUCCUGGACCGGCAUUGACGCUGAACAGCGAAAGCUAGGGGAGCAAACGGG